UACGGGGGGGGCAAGCGUUGUUCGGAAUUACUGGGCGUAAAGGGCUCGUAGGUGGCCAACUAAGUCAUACGUGAAAUCCCUCGGCUUAACCGGGGAACUGCGUCUGAUACUGGAUGGCUUGAGGUUGGGAGAGGGAUGCGGAAUUCCAGGUGUAGCGGUGAAAUGCGUAGAUAUCAGGAGGAACACCGGUGGUGUAGACGGCUUUCUGGACCGUAACUGACGCUGAGACACGAAAGCGUGGGUAGCAAACAGG
rnacentral:rRNA from 1 species